rnacentral:tRNA from 1 species
AGGCAUAAAGUAAAACUUCAUAUUAUCAAGUUAUAAUAAAUUGUCGCGGGUUCGAUUCCCGCCGCCUCCACCA